GAUGAACGCCGGCGGCGUGCUUAACACAUGCAAGUCGAACGAUGAAGCCCAGCUUGCUGGGUGGAUUAGUGGCGAACGGGUGAGUAACACGUGAGUAACCUGCCCUUAACUCUGGGAUAAGCCUGGGAAACUGGGUCUAAUACCGGGUAGGAGCGUCCACCGCAUGGUGGGUGUUGGAAAGAUUUAUCGGUUUUGGAUGGACUCGCGGCCUAUCAGCUUGUUGGUGAGGUAAUGGCUCACCAAGGCGACGACGGGUAGCCGGCCUGAGAGGGUGACCGGCCACACUGGGACUGAGACACGGCCCAGACUCCUACGGGAGGCAGCAGUGGGGAAGAUUGCACAAUGGGCGCAAGCCUGAUGCAGCGACGCCGCGUGAGGGAUGACGGCCUUCGGGUUGUAAACCUCUUUCAGUAGGGAAGAAGCGAAAGUGACGGUACCUGCAGAAGAAGCACCGGCUAACUACGUG
rnacentral:rRNA from 1 species